AUUGAACGCUGGCGGCAGGCCUAACACAUGCAAGUCGAACGAGUGGCGGACGGGUGAGUAAUGUCUGGGAAACUGCCCGAUGGAGGGGGUUAACUACUGGAAACGGUAGAUAAUACCGCAUCCCAUCGGCUGUGCCCAGAUGGGAUGAGGUAGUGGGUGGGGUAACGGCUCACCUCGGCGACGACCCCUAGCUGGUCUGCGAGGAUGACCAGCGACACUGUCACUGAGACACGGGCCAGUAACCUCCGAUAGGCAGCAGGGGGGGAUAUGGGACAAGGGGCGCAAGCCUGAUGCAGCCAUGCCGCUUGUAUGAAGGAGGCCUGCGGGUUGCAAGGUACUUUCGGCGAGGAGACGUUACUCGCAGAAGGAUCACCUGGUAGCUCCGUGCCAGCAGCCGCGGUAAUUC
rnacentral:rRNA from 1 species